UAGCCGAGGCUAACCUGCUAAUCUGGUUUGGUCUGGUUAUAUGUCACAAAUUGCUAGGAAACCUUUUUAUUUUAAAAACAAAAGACAAUUAGCAGGAAACUUAAUUUAACCUAAUUAAAAAUAUUAGAUAAUUAAACUCUUAUAGACUAAACGUGACAAUUUAAUAUAUAUAUAUAUUUAUUUAUAUAUAUGAUUAAAUAAGAUAUAGUCAAUCAUCGGUGUGAAUCGACUUAAAAAAAAAAGCACAUGGGUUAAACCCAUCCCCCCUUAUUAGGGGAAUCAGAA
rnacentral:ncRNA from 12 species